rnacentral:rRNA from 1 species
GCGGACGGGUGAGUAACACGUGGAUGAUCUGCCUCACACAGGGGGAUAACAGUUAGAAAUGGCUGCUAAUACCGCAUAAGCGCACAGUGCUGCAUGGCACAGUGUGAAAAACUCCGGUGGUGUGAGAUGAGUCCGCGUCUGAUUAGCUAGUUGGUAGGGUAAGGGCCUACCAAGGCGACGAUCAGUAGCCGACCUGAGAGGGUGACCGGCCACAUUGGGACUGAGACACGGCCCAAACUCCUACGGGAGGCAGCAGUGGGGAAUAUUGCACAAUGGGGGAAACCCUGAUGCAGCGACGCCGCGUGAGUGAAGAAGUAUUUCGGUAUGUAAAGCUCUAUCAGCAGGGAAGAGAAUGACGGUACCUGACUAAGAAGCCCCGGCUAACUACGUGCCAGCAGCCGCGGUAAUACGUAGGGGGCAAGCGUUAUCCGGAUUUACUGGGUGUAAAGGGAGCGUAGACGGCGAAGCAAGUCUGAAGUGAAAGCCCGGGGCUCAACCCCGGGACUGCUUUGGAAACUGUUUUGCUAGAGUGCUGGAGAGGUAAGUGGAAUUCCUAGUGUAGCGGUGAAAUGCGUAGAUAUUAGGAGGAACACCAGUGGCGAAGGCGGCUUACUGGACAGUAACUGACGUUGAGGCU